AUUGAACACUGGCGGCAUGCUUUACACAUGCAAGUCGAACGGCAGCGCGGGCUUCGGCCUGGCGGCGAGUGGCGAACGGGUGAGUAAUGCAUCGGAACGUGCCCAGUAGUGGGGGAUAGCCCGGCGAAAGCCGGAUUAAUACCGCAUACGACCUGAGGGUGAAAGCGGGGGACCGAAAGGCCUCGCGCUAUUGGAGCGGCCGAUGUCGGAUUAGCUAGUUGGUGGGGUAAAGGCUUACCAAGGCGACGAUCCGUAGCUGGUCUGAGAGGACGACCAGCCACACUGGGACUGAGACACGGCCCAGACUCCUACGGGAGGCAGCAGUGGGGAAUUUUGGACAAAGGGGGCAACCCUGAUCCAGCCAUGCCGCGUGCGGGAAGAAGGCCUUCGGGUUGUAAACCGCUUUUGUUCGGGAAGAAAUCCUCUGGGCUAAUACCCCGGGGGGAUGACGGUACCGGAAGAAUAAGCACCGGCUAACUACGUG
rnacentral:rRNA from 1 species